AUACGGAGGAUCCAAGCGUUAUCCGGAUUUAUUGGGUUUAAAGGGUGCGUAGGCGGACUGGUAAGUCAGCUGUGGAAGUUUGCGGCUUAACCGUAAAAUUGCAGUUGAUACUGUCAGUCUUGAGUGUGCAUGAGGUGGGCGGAAUUUGUGGUGUAGCGGUGAAAUGCUUAGAUAUCACGAGGAACUCCAAUUGCGAAGGCAGCUCACUGGGGCAUAACUGACGCUGAUGCACGAAGGUGUGGGUAUCAAACAGGAUUAGAUACCCUGGUAGUCCACACAGUAAACUAUGAAUACUCGCUGUUUGCGAUAUACAGUAAGCGGCCAAGCGAAAGCAUUAAGUAUUCCACCUGGGGAGUACGCCGGCAACGGUGAAACUCAAAUGAAUUGACGGGG
rnacentral:rRNA from 1 species